GACGAACGCUGGCGGCGCGCUUAACACAUGCAAGUCGAACGGAAAGGCCUGCUUUCCCUUGUGGAUUGCGGGUACUCGAGUGGCGAACGGGUGAGUAACACGUGAGUGAUCUGCCCCCAACUUGGGUAUAAGCCUGGGAAACUGGGUCUAAUUCCCGAUAGGACUGCAGGGUGGUGCCUGUGGUGGAAAACGAUUUUCUAGUGGUUGGGGAUGAGCUCGCGGCCUAUCAGCUUGUUGGUGGGGUAAUGGCCUACCAAGGCGGCGACGGGUAGCCGGCCUGAGAGGGUGGACGGCCACAUUGGGACUGAGAGACGGCCCAGACUCCUACGGGAGGCAGCAGUGGGGAAUAUUGCACAAUGGGCGGAAGCCUGAUGCAGCGACGCCGCGUGGGGGAUGACGGCCUUCGGGUUGUAAACUCCUUUCGACCGCGAGGAAGCCACCUGGUUGGAAGGGUGGUGACGGUAGUGGUAGAAGAAGCACCGGCUAACUACGUG
rnacentral:rRNA from 1 species